AAAUUGAAGAGUUUGAUCAUGGCUCAGAUUGAACGCUGGCGGCAGGCCUAACACAUGCAAGUCGAGCGGCAGCGGGAAAGUAGCUUGCUACUUUUGCCGGCGAGCGGCGGACGGGUGAGUAAUGCCUGGGAAAUUGCCCAGUCGAGGGGGAUAACAGUUGGAAACGACUGCUAAUACCGCAUACGCCCUACGGGGGAAAGCAGGGGACCUUCGGGCCUUGCRCGAUUGGAUAUGCCCAGGUGGGAUUAGCUAGUUGGUGAGGUAAUGGCUCACCAAGGCGACGAUCCCUAGCUGGUCUGAGAGGAUGAUCAGCCACACUGGAACUGAGACACGGUCCAGACUCCUACGGGAGGCAGCAGUGGGGAAUAUUGCACAAUGGGGGAAACCCUGAUGCAGCCAUGCCGCGUGUGUGAAGAAGGCCUUCGGGUUGUAAAGCACUUUCAGCGAGGAGGAAAGGUCAGUAGCUAAUAUCUGCUGACUGUGACGUUACUCGCAGAAGAAGCACCGGCUAACUCCGUGCC
rnacentral:rRNA from 1 species